rnacentral:lncRNA from 1 species
AGGAACAGUGGAAUUCUGUGGGCUGGAGAAAUUCAGGCAGCUGGCAGUUGAACUUUAAGUACCACUGUAGCAGACACCAGCCUUCCCUCUCAGUCUCACUGGCCUUGAAGUGAUGAUAAUGACACAUUCGGAGCAGCUGGAGAUUUCUGUGGAGCCAGACUGCAGAGGUGACCAUAAGGAAGAGAGUGCAGAUGAAACAGGAAAAGCAGAUGCCAGAGAGGCUGAGGAUGGGUGAGCAAAGUGCAGUAACGCAGAGCACAUGGCAAAUACAGCGUGUAUGGUGGCAAUAUUCACUAGACUGUUACCAGAGAAGUCUCAGCAGUGUGAGAAACUUCAAAAUCCUGCUGCACUGAGUGGGCUCUUUUUAUUCCAGGAGAGAGGGCUGGCCUUUUACACAGAGCCAACAGACCGGUGGUCCUGACUCAAGCCAUCACUUCUCUGCAAUUAAUGAAAACACUCAGAAGGUGAUCCAUGAUGCACAAACAAAUUUGUCUGACUGACCUCUAGCAGUGAGGAACAAGACUCCUUUGAGCAGGGAUACAUGCACCAAAUGCUAAACUGGGGUGUGUUUACUUAGUAAGUAGGUGACUCAAACCAGACUCAACGUUUAACAUGGACACACAGACUUCUCUGUACUUUGGGAUGUUUUGAGGUAUGGCUAGACUAAACUGUUGGCAAAGCACAGAUGGGCAGUAGUACCUCCUUUCCCUUGUCUAUACACUGGUUCAUUUUUUGGCUAUAACACAGAACUGAUGACUUUUUAGGUAUCACUGGACACCAUUGCUCAAAUAGCAUUGCAAGGUGGCAGAAGACAGCUAGACAAUCAAAUAUAUACAUGCCAUAGUAGAAAGGUAAUCAGACAGACAGUUUGGAUGGGCAGUUCCCAUCAGUGUUUGGAGUAUUGGCCUGGACAGCAGAGCCUUCUAGAGAAGGAGAAAUCGCCCAUGGUUCUAAAGGAGCCAUGUCCAGUGCAAACAUAUCCAGUGAGAAAAGGCAAAAGCCUUACACUUUAGGCUUUCAAACUUAAUGCUGUCAAACCUGAUUUCUGGAGCAGAUAACUAAUGGAUAUUUUUUUUGGGGGAAAAAAAGUUUAGAUUCUGGGUGUGAAAAAAAUUUCAAGAGUUUGCUAUUCCCUGUUGUCAGGAAACCUGCCCCAAAAGACCUCCAAUCUUUCAGAGAGCGGCUGGUUUUGUAGGGCAACAGGUUGAGUCAGUCAAAGCAGAUUUACCAGAAAGCAAACUGCACACAAAGCUGCCUUUCUUCUCUAACUGAAGUCCUGCAAAGGGGUGUGCUGAAUUCCCAG